CGCCGCCACUUCCGUGCAGCGGAACCUGUCCCUGCGCCCGCGCUCGAGACGACGCGACCUGUUUUUCUGACCCAGCGGGAAGUGCUGGCGCAGGUGGUCUCGAAUGCGUGUUCCUCUUUGCCUCUGAUGUCUGGAAGGGGAAUUCAGCAGCAAGGACUCCUGUCUGGAGCUCUGACCCCAACUUCCUCAAUCCAGGCUCUAGAGAGGCGCCCGUAGCUGAGCCCUGGGGUCCCGCGGGCCGCGCACUCUCUCUCCCUUUCCCUGCUCUGCACCCCAGCCCGCGCUCCGGCCAGGGCGGACGUCCCUCUGUGCCCGCGCUGGCGCUUGUCCCUGUCCCGACCUGGGCUGGCCAUCACCCUGCACUGGGUCGGAUAGUCACAAGUCUCUCCCCUCUGAGACCGCUUCUGUUUUAAGACUGCGCAUCGCGAGGCUUUCAGCAUUCCCAUCCCCAUGCCCGGUGAGGCCUCAGGUGGUGGAAGAAUCAGGAGCACUGCUGAGGAAGGACUCUUCCUACAGACAUGAGCCCAUCUGACCGUGGGAACAGCCUCCUGAGACCGGUGGGAAUGUGGUGACAUCAGCCGUUACCCCACUGGCUGGUCAACUUUAUCUCAUGGGAUCCUCUGACAACCCUCGAGGGAAGAGAUGCUCCCUUACAGAGGAGGAGGCUGGGACUUCUGGCUCAAGUUACUGAUUCCUGAGGUCACCUGGCCCUAGGACCUGGAGCAGGGAGGAAGAUGGCAGGACAGAGGCUGAUGGUGGCCCCUCCAUGCCAGGCACUCUCUGGUGGUCUCGUGUGACCUGCUGGCUGCGUGUCCCGUUCUACACACAGGGAAAUGGAAGUCCUCACACAGAACAAGACCCGGGCACCAGUUUUCCGGUCUGUAGCAUUGGGACCGGACCAGAUGGCCUCGAAGAUUGCUUUCCUGACGCUGCACGUGAGCUCGGGUACGGUUGGCUGAUGGGGAUGCGUGGUGGGAGAAGAGGACCGGCGAGGGGCCCGCAGCCGUGCCACCAGGAACUCCGCAGCCCGGCCCGUGGCCAGCCCCGGCCUCAGCUCAGAGUGAGCUCUGUGAUCUGCCAAGCAGAGAAACAUGGCUUUUUGCACUAAAUUUGAUACUGAAAAAUGUAACCUGCGCGUCUGGGCUGAGCCCCCAUGUGAUUCAGCACAUAGCAUGCCUCGGCUGGCUGGGCACCAGCUGGAGAUCAGAAGCCAGUCCGGUCUGAUAGAGUGUGAGCUGGACACAUGUUGACGACACACCAUGAAGCAGAAAUGGGAAGAUGAGCUGAAUCAGUCCUUGAACCAGAUGGCUGGGAUGACUUUGGAAGAGAGCGGAGGACCAUGUGGUUUUGCUUUUCCUGCGGGUGAUCUCACUUCCGGCGGUCAGGGGGCAUUUGUGCCGUGGCACACGGAGGCAAGGUCCCGAGAGAGGUGGAGGCCAACGGCCCCAGUUAGUGCUAAUGUUGUCUUUUCCUGGCCCUGCGGAAGGAUGUGUCAUCGAGACUCAGGACGGGACUUCAUGUGGACCAGAGAAUGGAAGAUGCUGACCUUGACCUGGAUUUAAAAUAGAGCUGCAGAGUUUGCAGAAUGGUCCCCCAGCUCUCCAUCCAUCUAUCUAUAGGAGGUUCUUCCCCAUCAAAGUCUAAGGUGGGAUAUACUUAGUUUGAGCCCUUAAAAUUUCUCUUUAGCAAAGGAUCAAUCUAUACCAGUGUGUAUUUGAGUUGCUUGUGUGUGCAAGAAAAGAUCAGCAUCGUGUGAAUCUUGAUGCUCAUCAGUUGAAAAGCCAGAGGAGGGUGGUGCCUCCCCAACAAUAUCGGGACUGACCGUAGAGUCCAGGAAGGAUUAUAUAGAGACUCAAAAGAUUUUUCUGGUAGCCAUUCCUUAAACUACAAAGUAUACAUAGGCCUAGAUCUGAGAACCUAAGGGCAAGUGUAUCAGUCAGAGCUCACUGCGGGGAAACAGAAACCGCUCCAGAUACAUUAAGUGGAAAGGGUCUUCAUACAGGAGGUUUGGUCUUUAGAAAGGGCUGAAGGAGCAGGUUCUAGGCUGCGCUACUGGAAUGACACCUAGAAGAAUACAGAACUGGCCAUCAGGAGAGCAGCUGCAAGGAGGCCUGGGCAGUGCCUUCCAAUUCUUGCCUGGGACAGAAGGAAAGGUCAACUGGGCCACUCCAGAGUCCAGCUCACAGGGCAAUGCCAACAGGUGUUGUGCAGCUAAAGCGGAUGUGUGGAAUACUGAUUCUCUGGGAAAAGUUUGACUCAGAAACACCUAUGCUUUGGGGGGGGUAAAGUGAUGAAAAGCAGCCUUUUCUCCUGGUUUCCACAUGUGAUUCUAGAUGCUUCCGGUCUCGGCUCUACCGUAUUUCCUAUGCGGCCUUGAACAAACCUCAGCUCUCCCCGUUGUCAAACAAAGGCCUAGGAAGGGGCUGGUGUCCCAGGGCUUGCUGAGGACAUUCAAGGGUUGUCCGUAGAGUGUUGGAGAAGCACCGCAGAGACCCCUUCCAGCAGUGCGGCUGAGUGGGGCUAGCAAUGGGCCACAGGGGUGAGCCAUGAGGAAGAGGUCGGAUGACCCCUUGCCUGGUGCCUCGGGGGCUUGCUCGGGACUCCGGUAGGAAGUAACUCCAGGACCUCUCCCCCAUCUCUAAUUCCGAGCCUCGCACACCAUUGCAUCCUUGGGAAUGUUGCCUCUAGGACCCCCCUUCCCCGCCCACUGCAGGUGCAUCGGCCGUCUGGGGGAAAAUGCUGAGGAUACAAGAGCUCGGAUGGGCCCCAGUUCAGCUGGACGUGGAAUCCCCCUCUGGCACUGCUGAGCUCUGUGACAUCAGACCUGUUACUUAACCUCUCUGAGCCUUGGUCUCCCAUACGUCACUGUGAAGCGAACCAUUGUCAUUUUUACUGAUAUUGAUCGUGAGAAGGAAGGAGGCACAUGUGUAAACGAUAAGUGAGAUCAUGGAAAUGCACCAGGCCCGGGCUGGGCACACAGCUUCUCAAAUCCUAGUGUGGAGUGAGUGCUGUGUGUGUGGUUUAGGGCACUGUGAUUUCAGCCUCGGAGAACCCUGUGAGGAGUCAACAGCUCUUAAUAACCCAUCCUCCAGAUGAUCUGACUGGGGCCGGGGGCCACAGAGCCAGGCUGGAGCUGAGUGGGUGUUCCCUGGGCUCUCAGCUCCGAGGCCACCCAGGAGGCCCUGCCACCUCCUCUCCUGGCUUCCCUCUCUUUUUGCCAUGUUUGAGGAACUCGGCUCAAGAACCACCAGCCACAGUCCUGAACGGGCCCUUGCUUCCAGGAGGACAGCAGGAUGGAGGCAGCAUGACAGCAGAUUUACAGUAUCGAGGAAAUUAACAGAGACGUGUGUACUGGGGGGCAAUGGGCUGGGAAGUCAGCGAGGGGGCCUAUUUGCCUCUUCUCUGCUCCUGACUUCCUGAGUGGCCGUGGCUGAAGCGAUGAACCUCUUUGGUCCUUAGCUUCUCCAUCUGUGAAAAGGGACUAUUGCGUGUCAGCUGCCUUACAAAGGGGCAAGAUGAAUGAGCCAGCACUUGGGAAGAGAAGGAGGAGGCUUAGAGACUUCUGGAUGAGAAGCAGCAGGGGGAGAAACAAACACGUCCCCCCACCCCCUUCCCCACGCCUCUGAUUCUGGCCCCUUCUCAGGACUGGUGUUUGUUAUCUGCAGUGCCAUGUUGAUUUGGCCUGUUACUCAAAAAUAUUGAAAGCAAAUAUUAACUCAAGAUAAUGCAACGUGAGCAACGCGAAGGCCAAUUAACCUGGGAAAGAGAAAAUAUCACCAUAUUUUAAAACCACAGCACACGAUGCUUCCAGGAUUGCUCAUAAAUUCCUGGUUUGUGGCAGCAAGAACAUGUUUGAGAAAUUAAUGCCGGGGUAUCUCAAGGCAGCUUUAUAAUCACGUCAGAUCUGCACACUGUCCCCGAUUGCUGAAACUCUUCAUGGCUGAUAAGGUGCUUGUUAGAGAAAUGGGAACUAAAUUUAUAGUCGGCUUCUGUGGAGCCAAUUUACAUGUUGUACUGUUGGAGCUGAGAGCUGAAGGGAAUGUUCUUGAAGCCAAAAUUGGCUUUGUGGCUCUGGUUUUCUCUGCUCAGCACCACCUGCCUCCAAUCAAACUGUCCAAUUACAGGAAACAAUUGUUUUCUUGCUUUCUGGGAAGUGAAGAAAUUCAUCCAGUAAAGGUCUGAUUUCUAAACGUUUCUCCCCCUUCCCCACCCUCUCCACCCCCCCAAAAGAAAAAAAGAGCACAAAAACCCCCAAAUCCAAAACAUCAGCGCUGUUUCAGGGGAGCAAGUGUGUCUCUAGCAAAUUAUUUUCCAAGUUCAAAAAUCAGAAGGAUGCAGUUGGUGCAUUUUGGUGUUAUUGACCACAGACACCUGAGCUGUAAUUAUCUCCUAUAAUAAAGUUAUUAGCCCGUUCAGAAGAAAGAUUCUCCCUUUUAAGAUGUGAGGCAGUAAUUAAAGGCUGUGAAUUUCACAGGUGAAAUCUUGCAGAAAGUAUGAUUUUAAAGGCAAAGACGUUUGUGAUCCACCUCUGGUUAAUUAAACUUUCUUCUCAAAAUAAAAUCUUG